rnacentral:rRNA from 1 species
UGGGGAAUAUUGGACAAUGGGCGCAAGCCUGAUCCAGCCAUGCCGCGUGAGUGAUGAAGGCCCUAGGGUUGUAAAGCUCUUUCACCGGUGAAGAUAAUGACGGUAACCGGAGAAGAAGCCCCGGCUAACUUCGUGCCAGCAGCCGCGGUAAUACGAAGGGGGCUAGCGUUGUUCGGAUUUACUGGGCGUAAAGCGCACGUAGGCGGACUUUUAAGUCAGGGGUGAAAUCCCGGGGCUCAACCCCGGAACUGCCUUUGAUACUGGAAGUCGUGAGUAUGGUAGAGGUGAGUGGAAUUCCGAGUGUAGAGGUGAAAUUCGUAGAUAUUAGGAGGAACACCAGUGGCGAAGGCGGCUCACUGGACCAUUACUGACGCUGAGGUGCGAAAGCGUGGGGAGCAAACAGG